GUGAAUCAUCGAAUCUUUGAACGCAAAUUGCGCCUUUUGCGGAAGGCAUGUCUGUGUGAGGGCACCAUUUAACAAAUAAUGUGCAGCGUUUUUUGUUGCACACUUUGAUGAGCUUUCCAAGAAUUUUAAAUUUUUGGUUGCGCUGAAUAAACAGUGCGAUGCUUUUUUUCAGUUCGUGGGUAGUAAAAUUUUUUCUUGCUUGGGUUAUUAAGAGUGUUAUCGCG
rnacentral:misc_RNA from 1 species